ACCUGGCUGGCUCAGUCGGAAGAGCACUGGUUCUUGAUCUCAGGGUCGUGAGUUCGAGCCCAUGUUGGGUG
rnacentral:tRNA from 1 species